GCCACCGUAGUGCAGAGGUUUGCAUGUCCGCCUAUAACGCUGAACGUCUGGGUUCGAAUCCUUGUGUUAGCA
rfam:Stomoxys calcitrans breed 8C7A2A5H3J4 unplaced genomic scaffold Scaffold1129, whole genome shotgun sequence.